rnacentral:lncRNA from 1 species
GACAAAGAACCCACCGGAAGGAACCAAUUCUGGGCACAAUGGGGACGUACCCAGGAGAAUAGGAAACUUACAAAAUUGUUGGAAAUGUGAUUCUAGUGCCCAUUAUGUCACACUCUUGUGUUGUUUCUCUGAGAGUUGCACUAAGAAAGUUCAAAUACCUGUUGGCUUCCAUAGACUAAAUUCGGGCUGAUAACGAGAAAGGUUCCUGACCAAGGGGAGUAAAGGAGAUGGAAUGAAGCUUGUGUGCUGUACUUCAAGUCAUGCAUCCAGUACCAUUUUCCUGCACAUAAAGCGCUAUCUAUUCAUUAAGAUUUCUAGUUGCAGAGCUGGAUCCAUCCAUAAAAAGAACCAUUUUUCUAAUUUAUAGAAAGAUGUCUCAUGGCCUAGAAACAGGCCUUGAGCAAGAGCAAGCCCUGCCUUUCUCAUAUAGAAUAUGUACUGUUUUCUUAUAUAUAGCCUCUUUCUUUAAAUUUGAUAAGAUAAUUAUUAUGAAUCAAUUUUAUUACUUUGUUAAAUAUUAUAUUGUGCUUAAAUUAUAUAAUACGAUUUUUAAAUGAAUAAAUUUUAAAUAUAUUUUAAUAGAUAAAGUAAUAUGAAAGUAUAAAGUAUCAACAAAAGACAAAAUAAUAAGAGAAAAAGUUAAAAACUGAACUAGAACAUUACUAGGAAGUAUUAGGUAUAUGAAUAUAUAAGAAGAAAAGAGUCAAUGUUUACUACAUUAUUGAUAGUCAUGUUUACACGUUUUAAAAAAUCAGAUAAGUACACUGAAAAUAUAUCCACUUUUUACCUCUCAAUUAAAAAAAUUAGAUCUGUUAAAGGGAGUUUUAAAAUGAAUGAAAUGACACAUACAGACAAAUGAUGCAAAGUCUGUAACAUUUCCCGGCAACAGUGAGCAAGAGGUGUCUAGAGAUGAAAUACACUUACUCUCUUCUAUUUCUUCCCAUAUUAUCAAAACUAGGCCCUUGGCACUUGAGAUCCUCAUGUUAGAGGUGCCCAGCAAAGAAGCCUUUAUGCCCUAUCUUUUCUUCUUGUGCAUUUCCAAGUUGCAUCUGUGCAUUUAGAAUGAUGCAAAGUAAUAAAAGCAAAACAUCAAUAGCAGGCAGUAAAACAAAAAUUAGCGCCAAGAAAAUAGAAAGAGAAGAUAGCCACAAGUUAUAGGUAAGUAGAAAAUUGUAUUGGAGGAAAGCAAACUUCCUGAGGAGCUUCAUCAAUGAAGACUUUGUGGAGAAAGUAAGCUUUGACUUGAUAUUAUGCAAAGAUUAGGAAUCUUCGUUGGUUUUUAGCAAGCAUCUAAUCUAAGGAAGUGACACAAAUGAGAAUGCUCUAGGAUAAAUGCAGCACAAGGUUUACUGAAGAAUAUCAGUUGAAUAAGAAUGAGCAAAAGGAGGACAGACAAGAAUACAAAAGAUGCCAUUGCCUAAGUGUUCUUAAAUAACUAAAGUGAAGAAAUGUGGGAGUUUACAUGAUAAUUUUAUUCAGGUGCUUUCAACAUUUUUGUAUUGUUAUCCAUAAAAGAUUCAUAGUUGUCAUUAUAUUAUGAUUUGCCAUUUUUCUUUUAUUUUUUAUUUUAUUCUAUAUUGGCAAAUUAUAAUUGUUUAUGAAGUACAAAGUGAUGCUAUGAUAUAUGUAUACAAUGUAAAAUUAACAUAUCCUAAUGAACAUAUCCUUCACCUCAAAUACUUAUAGUUUACUCUUCUUGUCUAAAAAACAUUAUUUAUAAAUAGUCAUUCUGGGCAUUAUUAAACAAGGAUGCUUUUAGUGCCUGGAUCAUGGUUCUCAGAACAAGGGUAUGUAACCCUAAUGAAAGGAACCCACAUAGUGAGCUAAAAGUCUAUAGAUUAUGGGAGAUACAAUUAUGAAUGCUAUAUAAAUUAUCUUCUUGGACAACGGACUGAAAACAUAAAACCAGGAAGAACGCAUAUUGAUGAUACCUCGUGUAGAUAUUUCACAUAAGAAAUGUCAUUUGUUUCCAAUCUAGUAGAACAUAGCUUGGCUAUGUCUUAAGUGGACUCACAGAUGGUCUUCUUUACCUUAGAGAAUGUGCUACAUUUCAGGGUCAGUCCUUCAUCAGGCAGGCUCAGCACACGUUAUUGUUAGUUUUAAAAAUCAGAUUGUUUCAGAACCAGAUACAUGAAAGUAAAAAGACAGACACAUAAAAGCAGCACAUCAAUAUUAAUAUGUAAUAAACCCAAAUAAAUUGAAUUGUAUUUCUGUCACCAUUACCAGAUGACCUGUGCUGACAUCCCUAGUACAUUCUUACUCUGUAUACUGUUUUACUUUGGGAUCUAAGUUGUUUAACAUAGAAUUAGUCCAAUGAAACCUUUUUAACAUAAGCAUAGCCUUUCCUUCCUAAAUAUGUGAUAUGCCCUUUACCUUUGUAGGUUUCCAUUCCUGCCCAUGCCCUCUUGAACACUGGCAUUAAUAUUUGCAGUGUUACAAUAAAGUCGGACAGGCACAGGAUCUCUUUCCGGUUAGCUUACACAACUUUAGCCUCGGUAGAUUUUCAACAUAUUUGGGUAAUACGUUUUAAUUGAUCUCAGAACCAUCUAUGACAGACCCACAGCCAACAUCAUACUGAAUGGGGAAAAGCUGGAAGCAUUCUUCUUGAAAA